rnacentral:lncRNA from 1 species
GUUUCUAGAGCUCGGAGGCUGCUGGUAGGGGGGCACCACUUUCAGAUAAAAACAUAGACCUGAAUGGCAUCAUCCAGUAUCCAAGGAAACCAUUGUGUCUGUAACCAGCUAAUGAGCUGCAACAGAGCCUGGCCUUCAUUUUCAGCAAAUUAAGUUCAUCCCUCAUAGGAAUUGUGGUCUGGCUGUGGCACCGCUCCUAGGUUCUCUAAACAUGAAUAUGCCUUUGGGGGAAGACAGAAGAACAUGGAAGCCAUGUGAAAAAAACGGAUCCUAAGGCAGUUUUGAACAUCUGGAGGCCUGAUUUAUUGGAGAUUGCAAAUGUACAGUGUAACAUAGCUGUGGAGAGAAACC